GAUGAUUUAAGUGAACCAGAGGACGAUAAGCCUGUUCCUGUUAGUUUAGGUGAUCCGAGGGAAGUAGUAGAGGGUGAGGGUGACAAAAAGAAAAAGCGUGGCAAUGAGGAGAAACCUUGUUCUAAAUGGAUCAAAUCUCCUGAAAAGUCUUUUUCGAAGGGAAUAAAAAUGGUUUCACAAGAGGAUGGUGAGAGGAGGGUUAGUAGAGUGGUGAAGAAAGGGGUUGAAUGUGACCAAAAUGAUUGCACAAAUCCAAAGGACAAGAAGAAGCCUGAUCCA
rnacentral:misc_RNA from 1 species